GCUGGACACUGUGGCACACACCUGUAGUCCCAGCUACUUGGGAGACUGAGUCAGGAAGAUCACUUGAGUCCAGGAAUUCAAGGCCAGCCUGGGCAACAUAGUGAGACCCUGUCUCAA
rnacentral:sRNA from 1 species